CCGGCUAGCCCUACGUCGGGACCGGCAGGUCUAGCCCACUGGCCCGGUGGCGGGCACCCCGGACAGCCAGGAUUUGGUUGUCCAGAGCGGGGCUACGCAGAAGCGAGUGCCACUCCUCCUUGAUGAACUUGGGGUCACACCACCAAUGAAUGCUGAGUGAAGAAAUAA
rnacentral:lncRNA from 1 species